rnacentral:rRNA from 1 species
AUUGAACGCUGGCGGCAUGCCUUACACAUGCAAGUCGAACGGCAGCACGGGGGCAACCCUGGUGGCGAGUGGCGAACGGGUGAGUAAUGCAUCGGAACGUGUCCUCUUGUGGGGGAUAACCAGUCGAAAGAUUGGCUAAUACCGCAUGAGAUCGAGAGAUGAAAGCGGGGGACCCGAGGGUAACUUCGGGCCUCGCGCGAGAGGAGCGGCCGAUGCCGGAUUAGCAGUUGGUGGGGUAAGAGCCUACCAAGGCGACGAUCCGUAGCUGGUCUGAGAGGACGACCAGCCACACUGGGACUGAGACACGGCCCAGACUCCUACGGGAGGCAGCAGUGGGGAAUUUUGGACAAUGGGCGCAAGCCUGAUCCAGCCAUGCCGCGUGUGUGAAGAAGGCCUCGGUUGUAAG